AACGAACGCUGGCGGCAUGCCUAACACAUGCAAGUCGAACGAGACCUUCGGGUCUAGUGGCGCACGGGUGCGUAACACGUGGGAAUCUGCCCUUUGCUUCGGAAUAACAGUUAGAAAUGACUGCUAAUACCGGAUGAUGUCGAAAGACCAAAGAUUUAUCGGCAAAGGAUGAGCCCGCGUAGGAUUAGGUAGUUGGUGGGGUAAAGGCCUACCAAGCCGACGAUCCUUAGCUGGUCAGAGAGGAUGAUCAGCCACACUGGGACUGAGAAACGGCCCAGACUACUGGAGGAGGGGGGAAUGGGGGAUAUUGGAAAAUUGGGGGAAGCCUGAACCAGCAAGGACGGGUAAGUGAUGAAAGUCUUAAGGUUGUAAAGCUCUUUUACCAGGGAUGAUAAUGACAGUACCUAGAGAAUAAGCUCCGGCUAACUCCGUG
rnacentral:rRNA from 1 species